UACGAAGGGGGCUAGCGUUGCUCGGAAUCACUGGGCGUAAAGGGUGCGUAGGCGGGUCUUUAAGUCAGGGGUGAAAUCCUGGAGCUCAACUCCAGAACUGCCUUUGAUACUGAAGAUCUUGAGUUCGGGAGAGGUGAGUGGAACUGCGAGUGUAGAGGUGAAAUUCGUAGAUAUUCGCAAGAACACCAGUGGCGAAGGCGGCUCACUGGCCCGAUACUGACGCUGAGGCACGAAAAGCGUGGGGAGCGAACAGG
rnacentral:rRNA from 1 species